UUAAAGUUGUUGCAGUUAAAAAGCUMGUAGYUGAACCUUGGGCCUGGCUGGCCGGUCCGCCUCGCCGCGUGCACUGGUCCGGCCGGGUCUUUACCUUCAUGGGGAGCCGCAUGCCCUUCACUGGGUGUGUGCGGGGAACCAGGACUUUUACUUUGAAAAAAUUAGAGUGUUCAAAGCAGGCCUAUGCUCGAAUACAUUAGCAUGGAAUAAUA
rnacentral:rRNA from 1 species